rnacentral:rRNA from 1 species
UACGUAGGGGGCAAGCGUUGUCCGGAAUCAUUGGGCGUAAAGCGCGUGUAGGCGGCUCGAUAAGUCUGCUGUGAAAGUCCAAGGCUCAACCUUGGGAUGCCGGUGGAUACUGUCGAGCUCGAGUCCGGAAGAGGAGUGUGGAAUUCCUGGUGUAGCGGUGAAAUGCGCAGAUAUCAGGAGGAACACCAAUGGCGAAGGCAGCACUCUGGGACGUGACUGACGCUGAGACGCGAAAGCUAGGGGAGCGAACAGG